rnacentral:rRNA from 1 species
AACGCUAGCUACAGGCUUAACACAUGCAAGUCGAGGGGCAGCAUGGUCUUAGCUUGCUAAGGCCGAUGGCGACCGGCGCACGGGUGAGUAACACGUAUCCAACCUGCCGUCUACUCUUGGACAGCCUUCUGAAAGGAAGAUUAAUACAAGAUGGCAUCAUGAGUCCGCAUGUUCACAUGAUUAAAGGUAUUCCGGUAGACGAUGGGGAUGCGUUCCAUUAGAUAGUAGGCGGGGUAACGGCCCACCUAGUCUUCGAUGGAUAGGGGUUCUGAGAGGAAGGUCCCCCACAUUGGAACUGAGACACGGUCCAAACUCCUACGGGAGGCAGCAGUGAGGAAUAUUGGUCAAUGGGCGCAGGCCUGAACCAGCCAAGUAGCGUGAAGGAUGACUGCCCUAUGGGUUGUAAACUUCUUUUAUAAAGGAAUAAAGUCGGGUAUGUAUACCCGUUUGCAUGUACUUUAUGAAUAAGGAUCGGCUAACUCCGUGCCAGCAGCCGCGGUAAUACGGAGGAUCCGAGCGUUAUCCGGAUUUAUUGGGUUUAAAGGGAGCGUAGAUGGAUGUUUAAGUCAGUUGUGAAAGUUUGCGGCUCAACCGUAAAAUUGCAGUUGAUACUGGAUACCUUGAGUGCAGUUGAGGCAGGCGGAAUUCGUGGUGUAGCGGUGAAAUGCUUAGAUAUCACGAAGAACUCCGAUUG